rnacentral:RNase_P_RNA from 1 species
GCGGAGGCUUGGACGGGAGCGUGCUUUAGGGCAUGAGGAAAGUCCGGGCUUCAAAGAGACAAGAUGCCAGCUAACGGCUGGGCGGGGUAACCCGACGGAAAGUGUCGCAGAAAAGAAAACUCCCGCGGCUCGCCGCGAGAAAAGCUGAAACGGUGUGGUAAGAGCGCACCAGCACCCCGGUAACGGGAUGGCUUGAUAAACCCCAUCUGAAGCAAGCGCUAAUAGGAAUGCACACGGGGCGUCUCUUCCUCGCAUUCGGGUUGCGUGCUAGAGGUGUGCGGUGACGCACAUUCGAGAUAAAUGACCGUCGCUCUGCUAUUUUUAGCAGUUCACAGAACCCGGCUUACAUGGCCUCCGCCAAA